UACGAAGGGGGCUAGCGUUGUUCGGAAUUACUGGGCGUAAAGCGCACGUAGGCGGCUUGCCAAGUUGGGGGUGAAAUCCCGAGGCUCAACCUCGGAAUUGCCUUCAAAACUGGCAGGCUUGAGUUCGGAAGAGGUGAGUGGAAUUCCCAGUGUAGAGGUGAAAUUCGUAGAGAUUGGGAAGAACACCAGUGGCGAAGGCGGCUCACUGGCCCGAUACUGACGCUGAGGCACGAAAGCGUGGGGAGCAAACAGG
rnacentral:rRNA from 1 species